NNAGUGUAGCGGUUAUCACUCCGGAUUCUGAUUCCGGCAACCCCGGUUCGAUUCCGGGUAGGACCU
rnacentral:tRNA from 2 species